AGUGGGGGAUCUUCGGACCUCACGCUAUCAGAUGAGCGUAGGUCGGAUUAGCUAGUUGGUGGGGUAAAGGCCUACCAAGGCGACGAUCCGUAACUGGUCUGAGAGGAUGAUCAGUCACACUGGAACUGAGACACGGUCCAGACUCCUACGGGAGGCAGCAGUGGGGAAUAUUGGACAAUGGGCGAAAGCCUGAUCCAGCCAUGCCGCGUGUGUGAAGAAGGUCUUCGGAUUGUAAAGCACUUUAAGUUGGGAGGAAGGGCAGUAAGUUAAUACCUUGCUGUUUUGACGUUACCAACAGAAUAAGCACCGGCUAACUUCGUGCCAGCAGCCGCGGUAAUACGAAGGGUGCAAGCGUUAAUCGGAAUUACUGGGCGUAAAGCGCGCGUAGGUGGUUCAGCAAGUUGGAUGUGAAAUCCCCGGGCUCAACCUGGGAACUGCAUCCAAAACUACUGAGCUAGAGUACGGUAGAGGGUGGUGGAAUUUCCUGUGUAGCGGUGAAAUGCGUAGAUAUAGGAAGGAACACCAGUGGCGAAGGCGACCACCUGGACUGAUACUGACACUGAGGUGCGAAAGCGUGGGGAGCAAACAGGAUUAGAUACCCUGGUAGUCCACGCCGUAAACGAUGUCGACUAGCCGUUGGGAUCCUUGAGAUCUUAGUGGCGCAGCUAACGCGAUAAGUCGACCGCCUGGGGAGUACGGCCGCAAGGUUAAAACUCAAAUGAAUUGACGGGGGCCCGCACAAGCGGUGGAGCAUGCGGUUUAAUUCGAAGCAACGCGAAGAACCUUACCUGGCCUUGACAUGCUGAGAACUUUCCAGAGAUGGAUUGGUGCCUUCGGGAACUCAGACACAGGUGCUGCAUGGCUGUCGUCAGCUCGUGUCGUGAGAUGUUGGGUUAAGUCCCGUAACGAGCGCAACCCUUGUCCUUAGUUACCAGCACCUCGGGUGGGCACUCUAAGGAGACUGCCGGUGACAAACCGGAGGAAGGUGGGGAUGACGUCAAGUCAUCAUGCCCCUUACGGCCAGGGCUACACACGUGCUACAAUGGUCGGUACAAAGGGUUGCCAAGCCGCGAGGUGGAGCUAAUCCCAUAAAACCGAUCGUAGUCCGGAUCGCAGUCUGCAACUCGACUGCGUGAAGUCGGAAUCGCUAGUAAUCGUGAAUCAGAAUGUCACGGUGAAUACGUUCCCGGGCCUUGUACACACCGCCCGUCACACCAUGGGAGUGGGUUGCUCCAGAAGUAGCUAGUCUAACCGCAAGGGGGACGGUUACCACGGAGUGAUUCAUGACUGGGGUGAAGUCGUAACAAGGUAGCCGUAGGGGAACCUGCGGCUG
rnacentral:rRNA from 1 species